rnacentral:lncRNA from 1 species
CAGGCAACAGUAAAAGAGACCCCGAUAAAUCCUUUGAGGACACUUUUUGUGAGGGCUGGAAGAGCAAGUGAAAGGUACCUGAGGAACACGCCUUUCAGCAGAGCUGAACACAGGGCCAGGACUGGUGGCAUGACCAAGGGGCAGAAGCUGUUGCUCUUCUUACUCCUUGGAGAUGGCCUUAGGGUCCCCAGGAUGACAGCCUUUUAGAGUGCCUCACUUACAGAGCUGCUGUUAGCUGGUGUGAAGUGGACCCCAUUAGCACCUGAAAAAACAGCCUUGGAAAGGGAGUGCCAUUCAUGGGUAUGUGGUGUAUUCUUAGUUUUUUGCAACGAGACUUAGCAGGCAUUAAUGUAGAAGUGGUCUGUGACCCCACACCUGUAGCCCACUGG